rnacentral:rRNA from 1 species
UACGGAGGAUGCGAGCGUUAUCCGGAUUUAUUGGGUUUAAAGGGUGCGUAGGUUGUUUUUUAAGUCAGCGGUGAAAGUUUGUGGCUCAACCCCAUCCAGCCGUUGAAACUGGGGAUCUAGAGUGUGCGAGAGGUAUGCGGAAUGCGUGGUGUAGCGGUGAAAUGCAUAGAUAUCACGCAGAACCCCGAUUGCGAAGGCAGCAUACCGGUGCACAACUGACGCUCAGGCACGAAAGCGUGGGUAUCGAACAGG